GUUUUAAUAGUUUAUCAAAACAGUGGUUUUGUAAGCCAAAGAUGCCUAGCUUAAAACU
rnacentral:tRNA from 1 species